rnacentral:misc_RNA from 1 species
AAGUCGUAACAAGGUCUCCGUAGGUGAACCUGCGGAGGGAUCAUUACUGAGUUACACUCAAACCCUGUUUAAGAAUCUGUUGCUUCGGAGGCGCCCCUCGGGAGGGGAUCUGCUUCGGCCGCCUCCAACAGCACCUUUACUCUUAACUUUGAUUUAUUUAUAUUCAAUCCAAGAAAACAAAAAAUCAAAACCUCAACAACGGAUCUCUUGGUUACA